rnacentral:rRNA from 1 species
GUAGGUGCAAGCGUUGUCCGGAAUUAUUGGGCGUAAAGCGCGCGCAGGCGGUUCUUUAAGCCUGAUGUGAAAGCCCACGGCUCAACCGUGGAGGGUCAUUGGAAACUGGAGAACUUGAGUACAGAAGAGGAAAGCGGAAUUCCACGUGUAGCGGUGAAAUGCGUAGAGAUGUGGAGGAACACCAGUGGCGAAGGCGGCUUUUCUGGUCUGUAACUGACGCUGAGGCGCGAAAGCGCGGGGAGCAAACAGGGAUUAGAUACCCUGGUAGUCCACGCCGUAAACGAUGAGUGCUAAGUGUUAGGGGGUUUCCGCCCCCUUAGUGCUGCAGCUAACGCAUUAAGCACUCCGCCUGGGGAGUAAGGCCGCAAGGCUG